rnacentral:rRNA from 1 species
CAGCCGCCGCGGUAAUGCGAAGGGUGCAAGCGUUAAUCGGAAUUACUGGGCGUAAAGCGUGCGUAGGCGGUGAGUUAAGUCUGCUGUGAAAUCCCCGGGCUCAACCUGGGAAUGGCAGUGGAUACUGGCUCGCUAGAGUGUGUCAGAGGAUGGUGGAAUUCCCGGUGUAGCGGUGAAAUGCGUAGAGAUCGGGAGGAACAUCAGUGGCGAAGGCGGCCAUCUGGGACAACACUGACGCUGAGGCACGAAAGCGUGGGGAGCAAACAGGAUUAGAUACCCGCGUAGUCCCUGUCUCUUAUAC